CUCCUGAAGCAGGAGCCUCCAGGGUCGGUUGGAAACAGGUGUGAGGGGCUAUACUCCUCUUCCUGGCUCUGCAGCCCCUGGAGAUGAGCAAACAAACAGACCUGGAUCAGCCUUCAGGAAGUGCAGGCCUCGGGGUGUGUGGUUCACCUGGCCAAGAGCACCAGCAGGAGGCAGCAAGUGCCACCGCCUGUGUGACCAGGCUCACAGGCCCAACAACUCCACACCCCAAGAGCUGACCCCCACCCCGGCCCAACAACUUCCCAUCUGCUUCCCAGGAAUGACAUCCACACAGGCUCAGCAUUUUGCUGCUAAGAGGUUUAGGUUCUCAAAACUGAUGUCAUUUAAGACCAUUAGCUACAAAAAAGGAAGCAAUAACAGGUCAUCACCACUUGGCUAAGACAGGUGGCCACAAACCAAAGCAGAUCACUGUACUAGACAUCAAAACAGGAGAGGAAGGUGUUAAAAAGCUUACAUAUUUUUCAUGAGAGCUUUGGCCUCCAGACAUCUGUAAUAAAAUAUGCUACGACAAACAUACUUUCUAUUUCAAUAGCCCACUUCUCCAGUCUAAUUCCAACCCAAAAUGGUGAAAAACUGCCAUUUGGGAAUUCUUUCCUUAUGCCAGACACUGUGACAAGCACAUUAAUGAACUAAUUAUCCUGAAUGCUGAUAAGCACCCUUCCAUGCGCUGUACUGAGGCAGGGAGGCAGGGCGUGGCAAAGCUGGCUGAGGGAGUAAGCAGGACCAGAUUCCAGGAUUCGUGUUCUCACGGCUUCCAGAGAUGUGUGGACGACACAGAGACCAGAGGCCACCGAAAGCCUGCAACCGUGGACUUCCACACAGUAGCCUGCCCCAUUGUCCCCCAGGGUGUACUUUAGUUUUAUUUUGGUCUUUAAUUUUUUCUCUCUUUUAUUUGGCCCAAGUUCACUCUGCAGAGCCA
rnacentral:lncRNA from 1 species